rnacentral:lncRNA from 1 species
AGAUUACAAAACCAAAAAGCAGUGAUUGAACAAAGGUGUAGCGAACAAAAAUUAAAGGAAAAAGAAACCACAAAAGCUUGCAGAGUCAGUCAAGGCAAAAAGAAAAAACGUUUGCAAAAAGAAUUUGGAAAAAAAAUUGUCAAAUGUGGAGAGGAAAUUUUUGGUAAACAAAAAAAAGAUAAAAAUAAAUUAAAAUUUUAAAAAAAUCUCCCCCACUCUAUCCACUAACCACCUUAUCCCCUAAAAUCCACCCCACUACCACAUCCAACUACCUCAAACUUCUAACUCCACC